UUUUCCUCUGACGCGCGACUUCUUCAAUUGUAGAAGAAACUAUCUCCUUACCAAGCCCAAGACCACCACAACCCAUUUGGCAUUUCCCAAUCCCACAACCGACCCUCCUUCAUGGCCUUCCCAGAGACCCCUCGUUGAUCCUCAACACCCAUAUAGAGUGGAAGGCGACCACCACACAAUGACAACAUCGUAAUCUCACACACGACAGAGGGGGAGGAUUGCGCAGAGUUAGUGUUGAUUUGACGAAGAGACUUGCAGGAAAAGGUUUCAUGCAGUGGGGUAGCCUUGGUUUAGGUGGUGGUGAAGUGCAUAAUUUGACUUGGGGUUUGACAGAGACUCAUCAAUUCAGUGAGUGAUGUGGCCUUGCAUGGGACAGGGUUGUCAGCAUUGUUGCUUUCGCGUUGAGGUGGACGACGACUAGGUGCUUUACUUUGUGUGGGGGAAGAGCGUCGAGAAG
rnacentral:lncRNA from 1 species